GCUUGUGCCUGAUAAUUCAUUUCUGAAGUGCUUCAAGAUUGACGCAUCAGAUUUGCACAAUGUGCCACUUUAGGAGAUUAUUUCUUCCUUCCUUCAGCCAGACAGAAGACUGCAGUAGGGAUAUGGUUCCUGUUUGCCUAUUUCCAUCCACAACUCUGCCAGAGACGAAAGCAGUGUUUGAAACAAUUCACCAAGAUUUCCAUCUGGAAUCAUCAAGAAUGGAAUUGAUCAAAUUCCUUAAGAAAUUUACUUAAAGUCAUGAUUUUGACAGCCUAGUGCUACCUGGAAAAGGGACAGCAGCAGCCUGGAGCAGUUUUCUAGCUAACAAGAAUUUUGUUAGCUAUGUGGCCACCUAGUGGCUCUUCCAUGGAUGUCGCUGAUGCAUUGUCAGGUACACAGACAAUUGCCCACUAAUAAAGAAGUUAUUAUCUU
rnacentral:lncRNA from 1 species